UGUGUUGUCAGUUUCUCAAGCCAAAACGUCUUGAUGGCCUUCGCCAGUUCAUCUUUGCUUGGCAGAUGAAUGUUUUCUUUUAAGCAUCGAAUACAUUGCAAGUUGGGGGGAUUUUCACACCUACAGUAGCCGGGCUAUUAAACAACCGUUUUCUAAAUAAAUUGAGGUAUGAACAACCUGCUCCACUUGUGGAAAAACAAGUGUCUGAAAACACGUUUUUGAAAUUCCUCCAGCUGUCCUACAUCAUCGUCAUCAUGUAAAUAAAAACUUAGCAAUAUAUCUACAGAUAUAUUAUAAUAAUAAUAUAAUAAUAAUAAAUUAUUAAUAUAUUACUGAAUUAGAUUUUUUUUUUGUGAGGGAAAAUCUGGUCUAUAUUGAGCUAGAAAUGGUGUUCAUUGUAACCACAAUAAAAUAAUUGAACAAACACAACAUGAGCAGAUUAACUUGAUCAAAACAUGUAUUUAUCUAUCAGAAAGAAUGUUGGUACUUGUUUAUUUUUGAUCCAAAGCCACGAAUGAGUGAGUCUCUCAGCUUCAUGCCGACAAAUCCUCACUGGACUCUCUUCAUUCAGUUUCUUCUUUAGGUGUGACGCAGGUGGGUCUGGAGAUGGAGGUGUGAUGCAGGUGGGUCUGGAGAUGGAGGUGUGAUGCAGGUGGGUCUGGAGAUGGAGGUGUGAUGCAGGUGGGUCUGGAGAUGGAGGUGUGACGCAGGUGGGUCUGGAGAUGGAGGUGUGAUGCAGGUGGGUCUGGAGAUGGAGGUGUGAUGC
ensembl:lncRNA